rnacentral:rRNA from 1 species
GACGGGGCCCGCACAAGCGGUGGAGCAUGUGGUUUAAUUCGAUGCAACGCGAAGAACCUUACCUGGGCUUGACAUCCCGGGAAUCCCUUGGAAACAAGGGAGUGCCCUUCGGGGAACCUGGAGACAGGUGCUGCAUGGCUGUCGUCAGCUCGUGUCGUGAGAUGUAGGGUUAAGUCCCGCAACGAGCGCAACCCUUGUCUUUAAUUGCCAUCAUUGAGUUGGGCACUUUAAAGAGACUGCCGGUGUUAAACCGGAGGAAGGUGGGGAUGACGUCAAGUCCUCAUGGCCUUUAUGCCCAGGGCUACACACGUGCUACAAUGGUUGGUACAACGAGUUGCGAGUCGGUGACGGCGAGCUAAUCUCUUAAAGCCAAUCUCAGUUCGGAUUGUAGGCUGCAACUCGCCUACAUGAAGUCGGAAUCGCUAGUAAUCGCAGGUCAGCAUACUGCGGUGAAUACGUUCCCGGGUCUU